UGAAAAGUUAUCAUGUAUACCAUAAAACUUGGAUACAGACCAGGAAAGCAUAAACUUGGUAUUAAAGAAGCAAAUGUGUAUCACUGGAGGAAUAACCAAAAUAUCUUAUUUUCUUGUAAAGGAAUAAUGGAGUGCUUCAUGGUACUGAAGGAAGCAAGAGCUCUGCAAAUAGAGGAAAGUGUCUUACAUUGGUUACUGAGAUGUUCAAAAGGGUUGCCUAUUACAUGCCAAAGAAAGCAACUGAAAGCAGGAGAAAUUGCCAAAUCCCUCAGAAUAAAUGAAAGAAAUGUCCAAGCAACAGAGGAUGAUGUGGCCUGGCCUGGGCUAUCAUUAAGUGGAAAGAUGUGAAGCAUACCUCUUAUGUGGAAUUCUCAGCCCAGUGAUCUGAAAAGUCAAAAGAGGGAAGCACGACUAGGUAAGGGGUAAAUGCUGGCAUUGUCUGGAGUGAAUGAGGGCAAAGCAAAUUUCACUGGCAGAACAAAACUUCAAAGUGAUUUUUAAAAAACAUUUGUAAGUACAAGCUAACAUGUUUUUAUCAAGAGAUCAAUGUACAACUAACAAGCCAAUACUUCCCUGCCAUAGAUGAAGAGACUCAUAGCCCAGGUGAUGACAAUUGCCAGGUGUUGGUUCCUAGUCUCAUAUUUAGUUCACUGAGCCAUAUGCUGUCCCAUUACCAGAGUUUCAUCAGCACUUGAGAGUUUCUCACAGUGAGAUCAAGAAAACUAGAGACACAAAAGAGUAUAACCCACCUGAGUCUACACUGUCUACUUAAAAGCUGUUAAAAUUAACAGAUCUAAACAGAUCCAUUCCAAGACAUGCUUUGGGAAGACCUUGAGGAGUUAGAAGGAAGGCUGAGAGAAGAAGAAAGAAGGAUGCCUUGAGCUCAGAAAUUCUUAAAUGAACAUUUCAUUUUAAAGCUAUGAGUCAGACUCUAAAUUAUAUUAGUGUUUAAUAGCAACUAACUUAGAAGAAAAGCUUCAACAGUCUCAUCCCAACUAUUGGGUUUAUCUGAAUAAGAAUAUCAAUCUGUAUGUUACUAUGGUCACUAAAUGAGUAACAAGGAAAAUAACCCAAAAGUACUCAGUCUCUUGCCAGCUAGCCCAUAAACGAUAGUGAAAUAUGACAUACAGGCUAGUAUUUGCUAACCAUCACAGCUAUAAAUAAUGAAUGGAAUCAACCAAAAAGUAAACAAACCCAAAACACUGUAUGGUUGGCUACAAAUGCAGUCAUGAUUCAUACAGUCUUGACAUUAUGUUCCCUAAAAACAUUUUCUUUAAAAUACUUUUUUAAAAAUAUGCCAAUUAAGUAUAACUAUUUACAAGAAUUUUUGUGUAAAGGAUUAAUGAUAUGCUAAGUGUUAGUUAAUUAUCUGUCAGUCUUACUGUUUUGUCCCAAAGCACCUCCCAAAUAUCAAAACAACACCCUUACUGUGUGAAUGAGCUAGGCUUGGUUGAGGCUGGGCAACAGGCCUGGUGGCAGCACAUGUAGCUAUUUAUCGGUUUUGCUCUAUGUGUAAUGUCUGAAUGCCAACAGACACACUCAGCUCUUCUAGACAUCUGGUGUUUAAGUAUGUGGUUACAAAUGGUUGGUAUUUUUAAUAUAAAAGAGAGUAAAAGGAACCUGGAACAAGGUAGUAAUUACUAAUCUAAUAACAGUAUUAUGUGUGAAAGUAUAUGGUUAUUACUUGGAUGCUAGAAAUGGAAACAAGACUUACCAUUACCUGGCUGGGAUGUAAGUCCGUCUUCUUUCUCAAUUUUUGGUGUUUCUUCCUUGCUGUCAGCCAACUGGCCAGGUUCUGACUGUGCAAGGGCUUGUUUUUCACAGUCUGAGAUAGUUUGAACCUUUUUGGAGGUGUCUUUCUGAGAAUCAUCCUUCUCGUUUUUAUCCUGGAUAUGGUUGAGGCUAUCUAUUUGCAUAACUAUUAAAAUAAAAAUUAUUACAAAAAUGUAAUAAUUUACAUUUAAAAGUAAAGUAAAAAGAAUGUAACAGUUAGGUCUUAUAAAAAGAAAGUGAAUAAUGUUUAUUCAUAUGUUCAAAACAUUUAUCAGGAGCAUACUAUAUACCCAGUACUAUUCUAGAUGCUGAAGAGACAGCAGGAACAGGACAGAGAAAUCCCUGCAUUCUAGACUCCAUUCUAAAUGGCAGAGAAAGACAAUAAAAUUAACAAAUAGGUAAAUAGUAUAUUUUCAGAUAAAGAGAACACAACUAAGUUUUGUUUUUUUUUUUUUUUCAGUAAGAAGGUUUUGGAGAGCACUACUAUAGCAAAAGUCAUGAGGACCAAGCUCUGAGAGGAGUCCCAUUUGAGCUGAGAGCUGUUCAUGGCUCUAGGAAGCUUGGACUCGGGCCUAUAUUCUUGGUCUAAAUAUUCUAAAUGUAACUGGAAGCCAUUAAAGAGUUUUAGGCAAAGAAA